GACGGAGGAUGCAAGUGUUACCCGGAAUCACUGGGCGUAAAGCGUCUGUAGGUGGUUUAAUAAGUCAACUGUUAAAUCUUGAGGCUCAACCUCAAAAUCGCAGUCGAAACUAUUAGGCUAGAGUAUAGUAGGGGUAAAGGGAAUUUCCAGUGGAGCGGUGAAAUGCGUAGAGAUUGGAAAGAACACCGAUGGCGAAGGCACUUUACUGAGACAUUUCUGACGCUGAGAAACGAAAGCGUGGGUAGCAAACAGG
rnacentral:rRNA from 1 species